rnacentral:rRNA from 1 species
UAGGGAAUCUUCGGCAAUGGGGGGAACCCUGACUGAGCAACGCCGCGUGAGUGAAGAAGGUAGUCGGAUGGGAAAGCACGGUUGGUAAGGAAGAACGAGUGUGAGAAUGGAAAGUUCAUACUGUGACGGUACUUAACCAGAAAGGGACGGCUAACUACGUGCCAGCAGCCGCGGUAAUACGUAGGUCGCGAGCGUUGGCCGGAUUUAUUGGGCGUAAAGCGAGCGCAGGCGGUUAGAUAAGUCUGAAGUUAAAGGCAGUGGCUCAACCAUUGUAGGCUUUGGGAACUGUUUAACUUGAGUGCGGAAGGGGGGAGAGGAAUUCAAUGUGUAGCGGUGAAAUGCGUAGCUAUAUGGAGAAACACCGGGGGCGAAGGCGGCUCUCUGGUCUGUAACUGACGCUGAGGCUCGAAAGCGUGGGGAGCGAACAGG